GUAAUUAGUAUUAAAUAGAUAUAUUCACGGCCUUUCACGCCGGCGACAGGGGUUCGAAUCCCCUUGGGGACG
rnacentral:tRNA from 1 species